GUCAUAGACGUACAUAUGUACAUAUGUAUGUAUGUAUGUAUGUUCUCUCUUCUGGCACUGCGACCGGUCGCCAGCGUCGCCCCCAGCCAUGUACCGCUACAAUCGAUGAUUGCCUAAGCGAAAGAGAAGAGCGAGCGAGUUAGGUAGAGGGCGAGCGUGAUACCAAAGACAAUAGGCAACUGGAAAGAACGGGAACGACAAGCAGGAGGAGGGAUCCGAUCCAUCAACCAUUUAAGUGAAUAAACAAAAAAAAACUCCAAAAAGAAGACACACGCACACAGAAAGCAUUAUGUUGAUUAAGGAGUACCGUAUACCGCUGCCCCUCACCGUGGAGGAGUAUCGGAUUGCCCAGCUGUACAUGAUAGCGAAAAAGAGUCGCGAGGAGAGCCAUGGCGAGGGCAGCGGCGUUGAAAUAAUCAUCAAUGAACCCUAUAAGGAUGGUCCCGGCGGCAACGGCCAAUAUACGAAAAAGAUAUAUCAUGUGGGUAAUCAUUUGCCAGGCUGGAUCAAGAGCCUCUUGCCAAAGAGUGCUCUAACCGUUGAGGAGGAGGCAUGGAAUGCAUAUCCAUACACAAGGACACGCUACACCUGCCCCUUUGUAGAGAAAUUCUCGCUGGACAUUGAGACGUACUAUUUCCCAGACAAUGGCUAUCAGGAGAAUGUAUUUCAGCUGUCAGGCAGCGAUCUACGAAAUCGGAUUGUCGAUGUAAUUGAUAUUGUUAAGGAUCAGCUAUGGGGCGGUGAUUAUGUAAAGGAAGAGGAUCCCAAGCAAUUUAUAUCGGACAAGACAGGUCGUGGCCCGUUGGCCGACGACUGGCUGGACGAGUAUUGGCGCGAGGUUAAAGGCAAAAAGCAGCCAACACCCCGUAACAUGUCCCUGAUGACGGCCUAUAAGAUAUGUCGCGUUGAAUUUCGUUAUUGGGGCAUGCAAACGAAGCUGGAGAAAUUCAUACACGAUGUGGCACUGCGCAAAAUGAUGCUGCGGGCACAUCGUCAGGCCUGGGCAUGGCAAGAUGAAUGGUUUGGCCUUACCAUUGAGGAUAUACGCGAGCUAGAGCGUCAGACACAGCUGGCACUGGCCAAGAAAAUGGGCAGCUGUGAAGAGUGCAGCGAUGAUAGCACCUCCGAAGCAUACACAAGCACGGCGGCCACUGCUGUCGCAUCAACGGCUGGCAGCGAACGAAAGAAAUCAGCACCGGUCAUACCGCCAAUUGUCACCCAACAGCCGCCUAGUGCCGAGGUCAGCUCCGACGAGGAGGAGGGCGACGAGGAAGAUGACGAUGAGGAUGAGAAUGAUGCUAUUGGAACUGGCGUUGACCUGGUCACCACCGCACAGGGCACCGCCAAAGAGCGUUUCCGAUCGCAGAGCAUACAGAUGGCCAACAAGGGAAAAUUUGGCUCAAAGGGUGCUCUACACUCUCCCGUGGGCUCGGCGCACAGUUUUGAUUUGCAGUCCAAAAAGCCGCAUGCCAAGACAGCGCCUCACAGACAUGUGGCGAACUGGCGCAUGGAACGACUGGAAGUGGACUCUAAAUCUAAUUCUGAUGAGGAGUUCUUUGAUUGUAUCGACACCAAUGAGACCAAUUCCCUGGCCAAAUGGAGCUCUCUGGAGCUGCUGGGCGAAGGCGAUGACAGCCCACCGCCCCAUGGUGGCCCCUCCAGUGGCGGUUCUGUGGUGGGUGUUCGCGGCCACAGCGCUGGUGGCAAACAGGAGGAUAGCAUUUUUAAUCAGGACUUUCUAAUGCGCGUCGCCUCGGAGCGGGGCAACAAGCGGCAGCUGCGCUCCUCGGCCAGUGUGGAUCGUAGCCAUGAUUCGUCGCCGCCAGGAUCGCCGAGCACACCAUCUUGUCGAACCACCAUACUGAUGCUGGUCGUUCAUGCCGGAAGUGUGCUGGAUGCCGCCAGUGAGUUAACGGCGAAGAAAUCCGAUGUUACCACGUUCCGCGGCUCGUUUGAGGCCGUAAUGCGGCAGCAUUAUCCAAGUUUGCUAACCCAUGUGACGAUCAAAAUGGUGCCCUGUCCAUCGAUAUGCACCGAUGCUUUGGGGAUACUCUCCAGCCUCAGUCCAUACUCGUUUGAUGCUUCGCCGUCGGCCGCGGAUAUACCGAACAUAGCCGAUGUACCCAUUGGGGCCAUACCCCUGCUGGCCGUGGCCUCGCCCGAGUUCCAUGAGACCGUCAAUAAGACGGUGGCAGCAGCCAAUAUUGUAUAUCAUGAGUUUUUAAAAUCGGAAGAGGGACAUGGCUUCUCCGGUCAGAUUGUAAUGCUCGGGGAUUCCAUGGGGUCCCUGUUGGCAUACGAGGCUUUGUGCCGAGCCAAUGGCAGUCAGCCAGGCACCGCUGGAUCGGGGGCCUCAAACUCAGGCGGUGAUGCUGUUGCUGCCAGCGGUGGCAGCAGCAAUGCCCAUCUGAUAAAUAGCCGACACUCUAGACUGGACGAUGAUGAGCGUUUCAUUGAGGCCGAUCUGGAUGCCAAGCGUUUGCUGGUGGCGCCAUCGCCGCGUCGUCGUCGCUCCAGUUCGUCCAGCGAUUCGCGUGCCGCCAAGCUGGACUUUGAAGUCAGUGAUUUUUUCAUGUUCGGCUCGCCGCUGUCCGUUGUCUUGGCCGCACGCAAGUUACAUGAUUCCAAGACGGCAUUGGUGCGCCCGAACUGCCACCAGGUUUACAAUUUGUUCCAUCCAACCGAUCCGAUUGCCUCGCGACUGGAGCCGCUGGUUAGUGCACGCUUCUCCAUACUGUCGCCGGUCAAUGUUCCACGUUAUGCCAAAUAUCCACUGGGAAAUGGACAGCCAUUACAUUUAUUGGAGGUUAUUCAAUCACAUCCGCAGCACUUUAACGAUGGCAACAAUAUUCUUGCCGGUCGUCGCCUCUCGGAUGCCUCCAUGCAGAGCACGAUUUCAGGACUAAUUGAAAAUGUUUCACUCAGUACAAUUCAUGCCCUUCAAAACAAAUGGUGGGGCACCAAGCGCUUGGACUAUGCUUUGUACUGUCCCGAAGGUCUGAGCAACUUCCCCGCUCAUGCAUUGCCGCAUCUGUUCCAUGCCAGCUACUGGGAGAGCCCCGAUGUGAUUGCGUUUAUAUUGCGACAGAUUGGAAAAUUUGAGGGCAUACUGUUUGUGGGAUCCAACGAUGACAAGGAUGCGGCCUCCUUCCAUCCAGGGCAGCCGCGCGAAAAGUGGAUCAAGAAGCGCACAUCGGUGAAGCUGAAAAAUGUGGCCGCCAAUCAUCGGGCCAACGAUGUGAUUGUCCAGGAGGGACGUGAGCAGCGUUUGAAUGCCCGCUUUAUGUACGGACCACUGGACAUGAUCACGCUGCAUGGCGAGAAGGUGGAUGUGCACAUUAUGAAGGAUCCACCGGCGGGCGAGUGGACAUUUCUCACCACCGAAAUGACGGACAAAAAUGGACGUAUCUCUUACAGCAUACCCGAACAGCUAUCCCUCGGCUAUGGCAUUUAUCCGGUUAAGAUGGUCGUGCGUGGCGAUCAUACAUCGGUGGACUGCUACAUGGCCGUGGUGCCGCCACUCACCGAGUGCGUUGUCUUUAGUAUUGAUGGCUCCUUUACCGCCUCCAUGUCGGUGACGGGUCGCGAUCCCAAGGUGCGUGCCGGUGCCGUUGAUGUCUGCCGCCAUUGGCAGGAGCUCGGCUAUCUGCUCAUCUACAUUACCGGGCGUCCGGACAUGCAGCAACAGCGUGUCGUCUCUUGGCUAAGCCAGCACAAUUUCCCCCAUGGAUUGAUCUCAUUCGCCGAUGGGCUGUCGACCGAUCCAUUAGGUCACAAGACCGCCUAUCUCAACAAUUUGGUGCAGAAUCAUGGAAUCUCAAUUACGGCCGCCUACGGCAGCAGCAAGGAUAUUACUGUCUACACAAAUGUGGGCAUGCGUACCGAUCAGAUUUUUAUUGUCGGCAAGGUGAGCAAGAAGUUGCAAUCGAAUGCCAUUGUGCUGAGCGAUGGCUAUGCGGCACAUUUGUCGGGGCUUCAGACAGUGGGCGGCUCGCGCCCAGCCAAGGGGAAUGCUCGUAUGGUCAUACCCAGGGGAUGUUUCAAUUUGCCCGGCCAGACGGCAAAUCCGCGACGUCGAAGCAACGAGACCGGACUUUCAUCGCCCAUACGCAGCGGCUAUCUGAACCGCAAAACCUAUUUGAGCCAUCACUAGAUAACCACACCAGACAGACGGUUCCCACUAGAAAAAAGCUUAGCAUAAGCCAACCACAAAUCAAACUUAGCCCCAACCAAACCAAAAAGAACUGCGAACUCCUAAAAGAUUUCUAGCACACCGCGCAAUCCUGCAUUUCGUUCUGCAUACUAGCAAAAAGAGAGAGUAUAUAAUAUCAAGGACAACAACAUUGAUGUCUCCCAUAUAUGUCACCUCUGUGUAUAUAUCACAUGAAUAUAAAUAUUAUAUAUAUUUAUAUACUAUGCGCGAUAUAUAGCAACAAAAUAUUGGGUCGGGUGUACAUAUACAUAUAUGAAAGCAAAAUACUAUUAACAAAAAUGAGAAAACUAAAGUAUUGUACAACAUAUGUAUAACCAAAAGUCACGCGGUACCUGGAACGAAAGACUGUUUCCUCAUGUUGUUUGAUGGUUUUCCAAACCACUUAAAGAAAUACAAAUGAAAAUAAAUACCUAAUAAAUGUGAAACCGAUCGUAAAACUAUAUACCACAUAUAUAAAUACAAUUAUAUAUAUACAUAUAUAUAAAUAAAGAAAAUACAGAUAUUUAAUAUUAAAAGCCAUUUAACAUAUGAAAGCGAACAAAGUUCAAAACAAAGCAGAAACUAAUAAAUAUGGUACUAAAUCAAAUUGACGGACAACACAACACAAAAUGGAAACCAAAAAGAUGAAAGAACUCUCUAUAACGCUCUCUCUCAAAAAAAAAAAAAACCCCCGACCCAAAGAACUAAAGCGAGUGCGGAAAAGGCGUUGCAAAAUCAAAUGACAAAUUGAAUGCAUUUCUUGAUUAAACAAAAAAAUUCUUACAACAAACAAAAUUUAUAUACUAACGGCUUCCGAAUACCAACCAAAAAAAAUUAUAUUUAUAUUUGUGCCCAAAACUUCUUCAGUCUUUAGGCACUCAGCAAGAAAACAUUAGAAUCUCCAUAAUUGUGAUAGUCUUUAGCUACCAAAAUAAAAGAAAUUGAAAACCAAACUGCAAAAAAAAAAACAAACGAAAGGGUUAAAUAUGUAUUGUAAUAUCUGUACCAAACAAAACAAGCAGAAAUAGUUAUUUGGAAAUAUAAAAUCACUUUUUUUGCUGGUCAAAAGUUGAAAAACAAGUUUAUCAACAUUGAAAAAUAUGAAAUGUAUGUAUAAA